CCUACGGGAGGCAGCAGUGGGGAAUAUUGGACAAUGGGCGAAAGCCUGAUCCAGCCAUGCCGCGUGUGUGAAGAAGGCCUUCGGGUUGUAAAGCACUUUCAGUGGGGAAGAAAGCCUUGGGGCUAAUACCCUCGAGGAAGGACAUCACCCACAGAAGAAGCACCGGCUAACUCCGUGCCAGCAGCCGCGGUAAUACGGAGGGUGCGAGCGUUAAUCAGAAUUACUGGGCGUAAAGCGCGCGUAGGCGGUCUGAUAAGCCGGUUGUGAAAGCCCCGGGCUCAACCUGGGAACGGCAUCCGGAACUGUCAGGCUAGAGUGCAGGAGAGGAAGGUAGAAUUCCCGGUGUAGCGGUGAAAUGCGUAGAGAUCGGGAGGAAUACCAGUGGCGAAGGCGGCCUUCUGGACUGACACUGACGCUGAGGUGCGAAAGCGUGGGUAGCAAACAGGAUUAGAUACCCGGGUAGUC
rnacentral:rRNA from 1 species